UACAGAGGUCCCAAGCGUUGUUCGGAUUCACUGGGCGUAAAGGGUGCGUAGGCGGUCGGGUAAGUCUGAUGUGAAAUCUCGGAGCUCAACUCCGAAACUGCAUUGGAUACUAUUCGGCUUGAGGUCUGGAGGGGGGACUGGAAUUCUCGGUGUAGCAGUGAAAUGCGUAGAUAUGCGGAGGAACACCGAUGGCGAAGGCAAUCCCCUGGACCUGUACUGACGCUCAUGCACGAAAGCGUGGGGAGCAAACAGG
rnacentral:rRNA from 1 species